rnacentral:rRNA from 1 species
AGUGAACGCUGGCGGUAGGCCUAACACAUGCAAGUCGAACGGCAGCACAGUAAGAGCUUGCUCUUACGGGAGGCGAGUGGCGGACGGGUGAGGAAUAUAUCGGAAUCUACUUUUUCGUGGGGGAUAACGUAGGGAAACUUACGCUAAUACCGCAUACGAGCUACGGGUGAAAGCAGGGGAUCUUCGGACCUUGCGCGAGUGAAUGAGCCGAUGUCGGAUUAGCUAGUUGGCGGGGUAAAGGCCCACCAAGGCGACGAUCCGUAGCUGGUCUGAGAGGAUGAUCAGCCACACUGGAACUGAGACACGGUCCAGACUCCUACGGGAGGCAGCAGUGGGGAAUAUUGGACAAUGGGCGCAAGCCUGAUCCAGCCAUACCGCGUGUGUGAAGAAGGCCUUCGGGUUGUAAAGCCCUUUUGUUGGGAAAGAAAAGCAGCAGGUUAAUACCCCGCUGUUCUGACGUUACCCAAAGAAUAAGCACCGGCUAACUUCGUG